UCCAGACUCCUACGGGAGGCAGCAGUGGGGGAUAUUGCACAAUGGGGGGAACCCUGAUGCAGCGACGCCGCGUGGGUGAAGGAGCGUUUCGGCGCGUAAAGCCCUAUCGGCAGGGAAGAAGGAGGACGGUACCUGACUAAGAAGCCCCGGCUAACUACGUGCCAGCAGCCGCGGUAAUACGUAGGGGGCAAGCGUUAUCCGGAUUUACUGGGUGUAAAGGGGGCGCAGACGGCAGCGCAAGCCAGGAGUGAAAGCCCGGGGCCCAACCCCGGGACUGCUCUUGGAACUGCGCGGCUGGAGUGCAGGAGGGGCAGGCGGAAUUCCUAGUGUAGCGGUGAAAUGCGUAGAUAUUAGGAGGAACACCAGUGGCGAAGGCGGCCUGCUGGACUGCAACUGACGUUGAGGCUCGAAGGCGUGGGGAGCAAACAGGAUUAGAUACCCGAGUAGA
rnacentral:rRNA from 1 species